AAAAUUGAAGGUAUAGGUUUUUUUUCACAGAUCCAUUCUACAUCGCUCCACCACCUUCGUCACCUCCAAUUGUUGUAUUGAUAUAUGUUUCUCUCUAUAUGAUUAAAUCUCAGUUUAUUACAAGUGGAGAUUCGUACUACACUUAUAAUUUCAGUUGUUUACUCAAAAUUUUGUGUUCUCUUGCCUUGCUUCAACCACAUGGAAGUGAAGAUCCUGUUUCCUGUUGUAGUUUCAUGCAAUUUUUUUGAACAUUCUCCAAACUUUUCUCCAUUUUCCUUUUGUCUGUCGGUUUUGAUACACCGAAAGAAAUGCAUACAAAUGUUUUUUCCAUUGGACCUAUCUUGAACACCAUACAAAGCCUCUACCAUUGUUCUCAAAAUGGUUUAAAUAUUAGUAAACGGUUCGAGAAGAUUCAUUGGCUUUUAAUCGAAAACUUGGUGUUCGAUGAAAUUACUUAAUGAGGUAACAAAUGUCUCCUUCACAUUUGAUCCAUUUAUAUUUUCAGUCAUAAAUCUUGCUUUUUUCCAUCGAUGCAUUGUAAAUGUAUGUUUUUAGCUUAAUAAAAUUUAUGGUUUUUGGCUUUACGCAUUGAGUUCAUGUUCAAGGAUAUGUCUGUAUAAGAUAUUACCAGUGAACUAUGAAAAGAACUUUUAAAAAUUGAAGAUUUUUGUUUCUAUAUGUUUCUAAAGAAAAAUGAAGAUGGGAUUUUGAUUCUGUUUUACCUUCUAAAGAUUUAUUGUGUCUUUCAAUUUUCAAACUCCCAUAAGACUCGAAUAGUAGGGGUAUUUUUUGUCAUUUCCUUUUUGGGUUUUGCAGAUGAAUGGAAAAACUUCCUUUCAUGUAUUGGACGCGUCGAAAAUACUCACUUAUCAAGAAUGAAGAAGAUAAUCUUGAACUCCGGUUUUGGGCAACAAUGAGAAACAUUGGUAUUUUUUUUUUCUGUUUUACUUAUAUUUAAUAAAUUUCAAACUUUGUUAAGUUUUGUAUGUUGUAUCAUUUACCUUUUGUUUAACCAUUUACGGUGUGAGGAAUUAUGAACUACAGUAAAAUUUUAAUGCUACAAGCUUAUCCGAAGAGGAUGACAGUUGAAUUUUGGGUUUUGAAAAUAUAUAUUUUUUUUAUUUAUUUCUUAAUGUAUUUUCUAAUACUUAUAUUAUGCUAGAUAUGGAAACUGUUGUUCCAACAACUGAACAUAAAGCACAAGAGCACAAGCUGAUCUAAAAUUCACAUACGUUGUCAUAUGUCAAAUUUAUGGAAACAAAAAGAAGAAAAACCAGAGGCUGUUGAUAUUGCAUUGUUAUUAUAAAAGUUAGAUAUAUAAAUGUUUCUGUUAUGAUUCUAUAUUCCUUACUGAUAUUUUAUAAUAUUACUAAUUGUUUGCUUUCAUUGACGAGGUGGAGAGUUUGACUGAUGGUAAACUGCACAAAAUGUUUUCUCUAAACUUGUGAAGUGUGACAUAAAUGGUAAAUACAAGGUCCAUAUUUUUCUAUGCUUAUUAAGGUGUAUUCAGAUAUUACAUACAUAUUUGUGAUUUCACGUAUGUAUUACUGAUUUAGUUUUUUCUUUUACAUCAUUGAGGCUUAAGUUGAGUUGAACUUUCAUAGGUGCUGGUACAACAACAACAUCGGUUCUUGCACGUGAUAUCAUGAAACCUUGUCUCUUAAGUGUAACUUCUGGUGCUAAUUCGAUCUUAGUAAAGAAAGGAAUCGACAAAACUGUAGAUGGUUUGGUUGACGAGCCGGUGUCUUUGUCAUUCUCUCAUCUAUUUGUUUAUUUUGACUAUUAUGCUAAGAAAAAUGCAAGUACAGUGCUACUAUCAGUAAUGUAUCUAGUUUUUUGCCCAUUAUAGGAAUGUACUUAAUGCGUUUUAUCUUGAAUAGUUAAUAGCUUGAUGAUAUAUGUAGACAAUAAAAAUAACAAUUUAAAAGNUUCAUGCAAUAAUAUCUUACAAUCAUUUCUUAUACUUGCUACUUUGAAAGCUUUUAUUAAUAACACAUUGUCUUUGAAAAGUCUUCCUAGUUACAACAUUCCACUUUUAUUGUUUUUUUUUUUUUUUUUUUUUUUUUUUUUUUUUUUUUUUUUUUUUUUUUUNCAUUUGUUGGAUACUUAAAUUUUUUUUAGAGGUUAACCACGGGUUGGCAGUCCAUACAUAAUUUAUAUUUCACAUUAGUUCUAAAAAAUUUAGGAAAAAGUAGAGAUCUUAAGAUUUAAUUUAUUCAUAUAUGAUUAGUCACUAAUCAUAUAUGGAUAAUUUGAAGAUCAUAUAUGAAUAAUUUAAAGGGAAUAUACAUAUUUGAAUAAUAAUAUAUGAUUUAAUUGAAACGGAAUAGUAAUACUCAUAUAUAAAUCAUAUAUGAUUACACUUUCCUUUAUGAUUAUUCAUAAAACAUUAUCAGGUAAUUGACUGGAGAUCUCCUUUUGUAUCUCUCUUUUAAAAAAACCCCAUUAGUGGGUGAUGUCUUUCAGGUUUGGAGCAUGUCGUGUCAUUCAUCUUGACCAGUUUUGUCGCAUCCCAUCCUGAUUUUCAACUUCAAUUGGUUGGCUACAAUUUGAAGAGAUUAUGGUCAUCGGUCUUGUCCUACUUCCAACACGCCCCCAUCCAAACCAAUUUUACCCAUAUAAUGAUAUUUUUCCAGUGAAGUCUCUACAUGGAUUUAAAACUACUUAUCGAAGUGCAUGGUUGUUUACUGGUGUUUUGAUUCUUUCGGUCUUCUUGGUGCUGCUUAUAUAAUAUUGUGUUGUUUCGGCAUCUUCUGUAUUUUCUUUCCUUUCUAUUUACUUUUUUAGUGCGCACACUUCAUUUUUUUCACAAAAAAGUAUUUGUUAUUAAAAAAAAAGCUUGAGUUUUUCAUAUCCAAAGGUUAUAUAUUUUUUUUACCAAAGACGUAAAUGCCCUCCAUAUGGCAUACUUUUUUUUUGUCUUGGUUCAAAGGUAAUUUGGUUUUUUAAACAAAAAAUUGAUAGCUAUGUAUUUAGAUAUUGUGAUUCAAGAACUAAAAUCAUUAAGAAAACAACAAAAUGAGGAAAAAACUACAAUCUUUUGCGACAAAAUUGGAAAAGCCUAGUUCUAUGGUUUGCUUAAAACAAUAAUUUAAAAUUUAGAUAUAAAAAUUUAACCAAAAUUUAAAAGGGAAUUAUUUUAGAAUGUUUUUUAUUUUUAAGAACAUAGUUUAAAAAAACAAAAUAUUUGACGUGCAUUAGUAUGGAAUAUCAUUUAUUGUCACUUUUCUCUUAAAUUAUUUCAAUUUCACUUUAGACAAACUAUCUAUCUUUGAAAAUUAAAAAAAUUUACAAAUCAUUGAUUAGUCAUUAUAAUUUCCAUGUAUCAAUAAUAUUUUACUUUUCAACCGUGGUUUCCACGGGUUUAAACCUAGUAUAUAAUAUAUGAAGGUCGGAAACAAUGCAAAUCAAUAUAAAAGAUAGGGUUUGAAUAUAAAAAUAAUAUGAAGGGGCUAAUGUUCUAAUUUGCUUCAAACGUAUUUAAAUCACAAUGAGACAAAUGUUUCCAUGGUAACCCGGGCCCUCAAGCAUCAGCACACCCCACUGUGUGGUUUGCCCGUACCACCGCACCAUGUAGUGGAUAAACUCCGACAAGUUGCCGUAACAGAAUGCAUCACAAAUAAUUUUUGCACCAUUUAAUUUAGCUUUUUCCAUACCCAUUGUUGAACAGACGCAAUUAAAGCUCAUAUUUUUAUGGUUUCACCAAAACAUAAUUAAUUUAAAUCCUACGUUACUUUAUCAUAAAUGUAGUUUAAUUGACUAAUUUUUUUGCUUUAAUGCUAUGAUCAAUCUUUCCUUAUAUUUAUACUCCAAAAGCAACAUAAAUAUUCAUUUAUUUGCCUUUUCAUUCUUGAUCUCUUUUCGGUGGUUUUAGAUUUAUUGAAGAACCGGAAGAACAUGACUUUUAUUCAUGCUAUUUACGUUGCAGUGAUGCUUCUUUUGAGUGGUGUGCAUGCUCGUCAUUGUAAUCCAAAUAAAGAUAUAAGUGAGUGUUAUCCAGCUCUAAUCACACAAGGAGUACCGUCUUCACAUUGUUGCUACGAAUUAGAUCACCAUAUGCAAUGCUUCUCUAAAUACAUUGACCCAAAUUACUCUCUACAUCCACCAAACUAUCCAUAUCUUCAGAAUAUUAGCGAAAUAUGUGACAUCUACUUCCCCAUUAGUCCUUCAUAGUAAUUUGGUACUAUUAUUCGUAUAUCGAUUAACAGUUACAUGUGAUAAAGGAAUAAAAAGUAUUCUAGAUGGCUUUGCAUUGAUGUCUUUUAUUUCUUUAUUGUUGUUAAAAUAAAUUUAUGAUUUUAGAAUACUUGUGACAAAAUUAAACACGGCCUAUACAAUCGUGUUGAAUGAUUGGUAUGCAUGUCCUUUUAAUUAAAACUUGUAUCUUGUACCUCUCUUUAGUUGGUCANCCUCCCAAGCUAAUUUUCCCGCUCAAAGUUACCAAGUGAAGUUCCUAAAUUACCCUUUGCUACUAUAAAUUUGGAAAAUCAACAUUAAAACUUAUCUUGAAAAAUGCUUCAACCUAAAAUCAGGAAUGAAAUCAACAAGAAUCUCGCCUAAGUUUUCUCAUCUUUCUUCCACCGUUUCAAUUAUAUAGUAAAGUGUUUACGCUUUUAUUUUCCCCUCAACUACAUAUCCCACAUAUCUGCAUCAUUCCUUCUAAAAUCACAACAACUCAUCACACGGAUCUUAUACAAAAUUGAAGGUAUAGGUUUUUUUUCACAGAUCCAUUCUACAUCGCUCCACCACCAUCGUCACCUCCAAUUGUUGUAUUGAUAUAGGUUUCUCUCUAUAUGAUUAAAUCUCAGUUUAUUACAAGUGGAGAUUCGUACUACACUUAUAAUUUCAGUUGUUUACUCAAAAUUUUGUGUUCUCUUGCCUUGCUUCAACCACAUGGAAGUGAAGAUCCGGUUUCCUUUUGUAGUUUCAUGCAAUUUUUUUGAACAUUCUCCAAACUUUUCUCCAUUUUCCUUUUGUCUGUCGGUUUUGAUACACCGAAAGAAAUGCAUAGAAAUGUUUUUUCCAUUGGACCUAUCUUGAACACCAUACGAAGCCUCUACCAUUGUCUCAAAAUGGUUUAAAUAUUAGUAAACGGUUCGAGAAGAUUCAUUGGCUUUUAAUCGAAAACUUGGUGUUCGAUGAAAUUACUUAAUGAGGUAACAAAUGUCUCC
rnacentral:lncRNA from 1 species